ACGUAGGGGGCAAGCGUUGUCCGGAUUUAUUGGGCGUAAAGAGCGUGUAGGCGGCCAGGUAGGUGGGUUGUGAAAACUGGAGGCUCAACCUUCAGACGUCGACCCAAACCCCCUGGCUAGAGUCCGGAAGAGGAGAGUGGAAUUCCUGGUGUAGCGGUGAAAUGCGCAGAUAUCAGGAAGAACACCCGUGGCGAAGGCGGCUCUCUGGGACGGUACUGACGCUGAGACGCGAAAGCGUGGGGAGCGAACAGGAUUAGAUACCCUGGUAGUCCACGCCGUAAACGAUGGGUGCUAGGUGUGGGGGGUGUCGACUCCCCCCGUGCCGAAGCUAACGCAUUAAGCACCCCGCCUGGGGAGUACGGCCGCAAGGCUA
rnacentral:rRNA from 1 species